UUCUUUCGCUGCUCCGAUAUCAAACUGCUCGCUGCCGUGACUCACGGACGGCCCGAGCGGCGACGCCAGCGCCUCCUCGGCGCCGCUGCCCGCACUCGCCCGUCUCUAUUGUCUUUCGCACCGCAUUGUUGAGCACCUUGCAUUGUUGUCGUGGCAUAGGGGUGCAGCUGGGGCUAUGCGGGUGCCGGCGGCACUUCGUUUCGGGCGAAACCGUUUUACAGAGCACCAGACAAUACUGAACGCUUGUCUAAGUGGGCAAGGAACUGCCACCUGAGGAACGAAUUCGCCGGCAUCGUUUGCUCCACACAACAGAGCAGCGCGGCAGUUGUGCGGAGAGAAGACGUCCAAGAGGGAGCCGCUUGUACCCAUGGCACACCUAUCAAUUAAAUUUUUAACUUUUAAGAGGAAAAUUCUGCAAAUUCACUAACCAAGAGAGUUGCAAGAAACACAAGAAGACCGAGUUGUGCCA